rnacentral:rRNA from 1 species
AUAGUGGCGAACGGGUGAGUAACACGUAAGUAACCUACCCUUAAGACUGGCAUAACCAGCCGAAAGGUUGGCUAAUUCCAGAUGUGGCUAUUCUGAUGCAUAUCAGAAUAAUUAAAUCCAGCAAUGGGCUUAAGGAUGGACUUGCGGUCUAUCAGCUAGUUGGUGAGGUAAUGGCUCACCAAGGCGAUGACGGAUAGCUGGUCUGAGAGGAUGAUCAGCCACAAGGGAACUGAGACACGGUCCCUACUCC